rnacentral:lncRNA from 1 species
AUGCUCAAGAUCGAAUGGCAUCUCUCAGACUGGAAAACCUUUCUGAAGUCAGUUCCAGACAUCCCUGGAAGCCUGGAUAAUUUGGGAAAAGGCUGACUCAAUGUAAGCAAUUACAACUGGAUCAAAAUCAUGGAUCCACAUGCCCGUUUCACCCACUAGACUGUGACGUCAGAGUCGGUGACAUUGCCUUCAACAUCUCCGUAUGCUCAUUACCCAGGAUGGUGCUUUCUACAGAAGGUCCUCAAUCCAUCCUCCUUGAAAUGAAUGGAAACCAACCGGCGUGUGUAAUGAAUGGUUCCAAAAGAGAAUGCUCGAGGAGUGCAGCUUGGGAUGCUAGGAACACACUCCGGUCUGGAGCCCAGCUCACUCCCUGGUUCAUGGUGGAUGUCCAAAAAUAGGCAUGAAAACGAGUGAAGCGAGAAUAUGUACUUCUCAAUUCUCAAGUUAUUAUUGGUGACACCCACCACCUAGUACCAGACCUCAGGAGGCUGAGAUGGAAAGUUAUGGGAAACUUUGUACCUCUUGCCAGUUGAAUUCAUGACACCCAAUUUUAAAU